rnacentral:rRNA from 1 species
UACGUAGGGGGCAAGCGUUGUCCGGAUUUAUUGGGCGUAAAGAGCGUGUAGGCGGCUAGAUAGGUCCGUUGUGAAAACUCGAGGCUCAACCUCGAGACGUCGAUGGAAACCAUCUGGCUAGAGUCCGGAAGAGGAGAGUGGAAUUCCUGGUGUAGCGGUGAAAUGCGUAGAUAUCGUAAGGAAGACCAGUGGCGAAGGCGGGUCUCUGGACAGUUCCUGACGCUGAGGCACGAAGGUCAGGGGAGCAAACGGG